rnacentral:lncRNA from 1 species
AGUGUAUUCACUUUUAGAAGUUAAGUUGGUUAGUUUGAGGUCUUUUUCUAUUAUUUAUGCUCUUUUGAAUGCUUAGAGCCUCUUGUACCAUGUAUGUAUGUUUUAUAUUUAUUUUGGUUCAAUUUAAUUGUUCCACUUUUGAAUAUAUUAGAGUAUUUGCUUUUAAAGAUAAAAAACAACAUGGAACAUGGGAGUCUAAAAUUUAUGCCAUAUAUAAAACAGGAACCUGAAAUUAGAAUAUUUGGACCUUUAUUUGAUUCACUGGCCCAUAAGUGUGAAGCCUGGAAAUUGGGAAAUUCCAUAUGCUGAAGAGUUAAUUACAUCAUUUGACUUAAAGGGAGUGUGGACAGCAAUGGAAGAAUGCCAGAAAUUAGGCCUUACAAAAUCUAUAGGAGUCAGUAACUUCACUCGCAAGAAACUUGAUGAUCUACUCUCAUUUGCUAUCAUUCCUCCUUCUGUCAAUCAAGUAAGCCAUCAGAAUCUUCUUGGUUACUUUCUACUUCACUGCAAGAUAACAGCAAUUUUUGUGGGCCAAAAGCCCUCUAUAAGUGACAAAACCCGCCAAAAAGUUAGCAUUUAUUGGCGGCCAGCUGGCGGCCUCAAAUCGCCAAGAAAUAGGGCGGUGGNNNNNNNNNNNNNNNNNNNNNNNNNNNNNNNNNNNNNNNNNNNNNNNNACUAGCGGCAUAGGCCGCCACUAACUAAUAUAUUAUUUUAAAAAAAAAAAAAACUAAAAUUACUUAUUUAUUAACUUUUUUUUAUUUCUCGAAAGGAGGCAGUAUAGUAUAAUCAUCAAUGUUCAUGCCUAACCAUUCAUUAAAUGAUAAAACAAAAUUAUUAAAUAAUUUUAAAAACAUCAAUUUGCAUCCAAAGAACUACUUUUCUAUAUUCAUUCUUCAACCAAGAAGCCUCUUCUUCAGAUUACUUCUACAACCAAAAAGCCAACAUAGAAGCUACAAGAUCUAUAAAAUUCUAAGAAGAAGAAGAAGGUUUCUGCGUUUUUGGUUCACAACUUUUAGGCCUUGAGCUUUUAGUUUUUCUGCGUUUUCGGUUCACAAGUUUCUGCGUUUUCAGAAACUUGUUUCUGCGUUCACACCUUCUUGUUGUUCAUGUUGCAAACCCUUGAGCUUUUAGUUUUUCCGUUUGCAAGAGAUUUGUGUAAUUAGUGUUUGAUAAUUUAAAAAACUUGGUGAUGUUGUGUUUUGAAGUUCACAGAGAGGGUGAGAGAAAAAUAAGGGUGAAAGAGAUAAGGGUGAGAGACAUGAGGUUGAGAGAAUAAUUUAUUUUUUCGCUUUCAACUUAUUGGAGGUCUAAGCACACUUAGUUACAAUAGCGCGCACUGAGCCAAAGCAUAACAUAAAGCACACCUAAAAUACACUCCCCUAAAUUGAACAAUUUUGAUUAGUUUACAAAUUUGCAGUAAACAACAUUGAUUCUAGACUAUGAAUGUCACAAACACCAAGCUUAUCCCUAAGAUUACAAAAGGCCUCAAGCUUUAGAGGUUUUGUCAUAAUGUCAGCUACUUGAUCUUGAGUGCUGCAGUGGUUGAGUUCUACCACUCACUCCUUUGUUAAAUCUCUGGGAAAAUGGUACCUCACAUCAAUGUGCUUGCAUCAGCCAUGCAUAACUGGGUUCUUGGAGAGCUUUAUGGAAGAACUGUUGUCACAAUGGAUAAUGGAACACUUUUGAAAUUGACCCAGUUGUUCAAGUAUUCUUCAUAGCCAAAUACCUUGACAUGCGGCCACAAAUUUUGCUUCAGUGGUGGAUAUAGUAACAAUAGCUUUUUUUUUUUUUUUAUGACCAUGAUAUAGNNNNNNNNNNNNNNNNNNNNNNNNNNNNNNNNAAAGAGAUAACCAGGAGUGCUUUUUCUAUCAUCUACGUCUCUUGCAUAAUCACUAUCUGACCACCCUAGUAGUUUCAAAUCACCAUUUCUUCUAUACAAAACACCAAGAUCCAUGGUUCCCUUGAGAUAUCUCAUAACUCUCUUGGCAGCAGCUAAAUGAAUCUCUGUAGGUCUUUCUAUAUAUCUUGCAAUCAAACACACAUAGAAUGUAAGAUCAGGUCUUGUUGCUAGCGGAUAGAUCAAGCACCCAAUCAUCUGCCUAUAACUAGUAGCAUCAAUUGUUCUUCCAUUUUCAUCUUUGAUCAAUUUGUUUCCAAGAACCAUAGGACGGCACACUUUGUUUCAUUGAUCCAUAUUGAAUCUCAUACGAAGUUCUUUUGCAUACUUCUGUUGGUAAAUGAAAAUUCCACAAUCAAAUUGCUUUACUUCCAAUCAAAGAAAGAACCUAAUUUUGUCCAAAUCAGUCAUAGAAAACUUGCUCUUCAUAAAAUUUUUAAACUCUUCAAACUUGCUCUUCAUGAGGACAUUUUUCAAAUUUUUCUUGAUUGAAAUAAGAGUUUAUUUUGCUGUAUCAUGCCCUUGGGGCCUGCUUAAGACCAUCACAAGCACACUUAGUUUCAAUAGUGCGCACUGAGCCUAACCUUGACACACAAGCACGCGCGCCAAGCCUAACAUAAACCACACCUAUAUUAAACCACCCCUCUUUUGAUGGAUGAAGAAGGGAGAAACUAGUGUUUAGAAAAUAAGGAAACUUAGGCGAGCAAUUAAACUCUAUUAAAAGAGAUAUAUAGUACCCCAUUAUUCAAAAUUUCUACAUCUGUACCUGAUCAUGGGUCUAAACUUUAUGCCAUAAUGCAGGAACCUGAAAUUAGAAUAUUUGGACCUUUAUUUGAUCCACUGGCCCAUGAGUGUGAAGCCUGGAAAUUGGGAAAUUCCAUAUGCGCGUAAAUUUGGACCUUUGCCUGAGCAUGUUAAAGAGUUAAUAACAACAUUUGACUUAAAAGGAGUGUGGACAGCAAUGGAAAAAUGCCAAAAGUUAGGCCUUACAAAAUCCAUAGGAGUCAGUAACUUCACUCGCAAGAAACUAGAUGAUCUACUCUCAUUUGCAAGAAUUCCUCCUUCUGU